UACGUAGGGUGCGAGCGUUGUCCGGAAUUAUUGGGCGUAAAGAGCUUGUAGGCGGUUUGUCGCGUCUGCUGUGAAAAUCCGGGGCUCAACCCCGGACUUGCAGUGGGUACGGGCAGGCUGGAGUGUGGUAGGGGAGACUGGAAUUCCUGGUGUAGCGGUGGAAUGCGCAGAUAUCUGGAGGAACACCGGUGGCGAAGGCGGCAUCCUGGACCAACACUGACGCUGAUGAGCGAAAGCCAGGGGAGCAAACGGG
rnacentral:rRNA from 1 species